rnacentral:rRNA from 1 species
GACGGAGGAUGCAAGCGUUAUCCGGAAUGAUUGGGCGUAAAGCGCGCGUAGGCGGCUCGGUAAGUCCGCUGUGAAAGUCCAGGGCUCAACCCUGGAAAGCGGGUGGAUACUGCCGGGCUAGAAUCCGGAAGAGGCGAGUGGAAUUCCUGGUGUAGCGGUGGAAUGCGCAGAUAUCAGGAGGAACACCAGUAGCGAAGGCAGCUCGCUGGGACGUUAUUGACGCUAAGGCUCGAAAGCGUGGGGAGCAAACAGG